CGGCCACACUGGGACUGAGACCCGGCCCAGACUCCUACGGGAGGCAGCAGUGGGGAAUAUUGCACAAUGGGCGAAAGCCUGAUGCAGCGACGCCGCGUGAGGGAUGACGGCCUUCGGGUUGUAAACCUCUUUCAGCAGGGAAGAAGCGAAAGUGACGGUACCUGCAGAAGAAGCGCCGGCUAACUACGUGCCAGCAGCCGCGGUAAUACGUAGGGCGCAAGCGUUGUCCGGAAUUAUUGGGCGUAAAGAGCUCGUAGGCGGCUUGUCACGUCGGGUGUGAAAGCCCAGGGCUUAACCCUGGGUCUGCAUUCGAUACGGGCUAGCUAGAGUGUGGUAGGGGAGAUCGGAAUUCCUGGUGUAGCGGUGAAAUGCGCAGAUAUCAGGAGGAACACCGGUGGCGAAGGCGGAUCUCUGGGCCAUUACUGACGCUGAGGAGCGAAAGCGUGGGGAGCGAACAGGAUUAGAUACCCUGGUAGUCCACGCCGUAAACGGUGGGAACUAGGUGUUGGCGACAUUCCACGUCGUCGGUGCCGCAGCUAACGCAUUAAGUUCCCCGCCUGGGGAGUACGGCCGCAAGGCUAAAACUCAAAGGAAUUGACGGGGGCCCGCACAAGCAGCGGAGCAUGUGGCUUAAUUCGACGCAACGCGAAGAACCUUACCAAGGCUUGACAUACACCGGAAACGUCUGGAGACAGGCGCCCCCUUGUGGUCGGUGUACAGGUGGUGCAUGG
rnacentral:rRNA from 1 species